rnacentral:rRNA from 1 species
UGAACGCUGACAGAAUGCUUAACACAUGCAAGUCAACUGGUAGUAAUACCGGUGGCGGACGGGUGAGUAACGCGUAAAGAAUCUGCCCUUAGGACUGGGACAACAUUAGGAAACUGAUGCUAAUACCGGAUAUGAUGAUGGAGUCGCAUGACUUUGUUAUGAAAGCUAUAUGCACCUAAGGAGGACUUUGCGUCCCAUUAGCUAGUUGGUGAGGUAAUGGCUCACCAAGGCGACGAUAGGUAGCCGGCCUGAGAGGGUGAACGGCCACAAGGGAACUGAGAGACGGUCCUUACUCCUACGGGAGGCAGCAGUGGGGAAUAUUGGGCAAUGGGC